UCACGUACCCCAGGUUAAAUACCACUGGCAUAGACGAUGCGAUCUCGGUGUUCCAGUUCCCAUUAUGAAUCCACCCAUUUUUAUCUCCUCACAGGAUUGCGUGAUUUUUAAAAAUGUCAUAUCCAGGUAUUUUUCCUCUUUUCCCGACGUUCUGUACUGCACAGCGUGACCCAGUUCGUUAAUGGCGUACAAAUAAGAAUGGCGUAGCGCUUGACAGCCACUGGGUAAUGAUAGGACAACACAGGAGGUCUCUGCAGACCAGACAGUAAAGAAGAUGCAGAUUACUAUUAUUCCAACGAUGAUGACAGGGAUUAUGAUGAAGAUGAGCAGGACGACUCUUAUACUGGAUCGCCGCCUGUAA